rnacentral:rRNA from 1 species
AGCGAACGUUUGCGGCGGGCCUAACACAUGCAAGUCGAACGCACUAGCAAUAGUGAGUGGCGCACGGGUGCGUAACACGUGGGUAAUCAACCCUUCAGCCUGGGAUAACGACUCGAAAGGGUCGCUAAUACCGGAUACGGCGCGAGAGGCUUCGGCUUCUCACGAGAAAGCCACGCAAGGGGCACUGAAGGACGAGCCUGCGGCCCAUCAGCUAGUUGGUGAGGUAAGAGCUCACCAAGGCUAAGACGGGUAGCUGGUCUGAGAGGAUGAUCAGCCACACUGGAACUGAGACACGGUCCAGACUCCUACGGGAGGCAGCAGUGGGGAAUAUUGGACAAGUGGGGAAACCCUGAUCCAGCUACGCCGCGUGGGUGAUGAAGGCC